CGCGAUCACUCGUUUGUGUGCGACGGGAACGAACGGAUCCACGAACCGGAAAAAUGAACUCUCUCAGCGUUUUGUGCUUCGCCAGCCUCGUGGCGUUGGCUUCAGCCACCCACAUGCUGACUACGACUCCACCCCCUCAGCAACUUGAUCCGGUAAUCAUCAUCCAGAACCAGAACAAACUUGUCAACAAGCCCGCGGCUGUGCCUUGUGUUCCAGCAGGCGCUCCGGUUCCUCCGCCACCGCCCCCGGCCGCCCUUCCCGUCGCGGUAGCACCAGCUCCGCCUGUUGUACCCGUCGCCCUACCGCCACCUCCGCCAGUCCUACCCCCCCCGGUGGUAGUCCCGGUGCUUGCACCGAAACCAGUCAUCGUCGAGCCCGUCAUUGAAGACGUUCAAGUCGCGGGGGUGAUCAACUGAGUUUGUGCGAUGUCAUGAUCGAAGCGACUCGCCGCAUCUUGAGCGAGUUUCGAGGGGUUUCUCGGUAGAGACGAACAACGGUCUCCCGAAUUAUAAUUUUUUUGUGAAAUGGACGAACCUCGGAAUAAUCCCCAGAGAAACUGGAUGCUUAAAAAACCUGAAAAGCACGAAUAAAUGUUCUUAAAUUCUCGAU